ACACUUCCAUCAAACAGUACCUGCCCCUUAGGUGUGCUAGGGAAUAAAUGAAAUGCCUGGGACAUCAUCGUUAAGUGGCAUCUGAUGCAUAAGCAGUGCCCUAGGAAUGGGGUUGCCUGCCUUGGUCUCUAAAGGAUGGGUUCAAAAGGCAAGAGCAGCACACAAGAAGAUAGCUUCAAGCAGGAGAUAAAGCUUGGCCCAGGGCCCAAAGGGGAUACGACCCUUCAGCAAACUGACAUGCUGAAAGCUGCCCUAUGGAGAGGCUCAUGUGGCAAGGAACAGAGGGUGGCUUCUGGCCAACACCCAGUGAGGAACUCAGGCCCUCAGUCAAACAGCCUGCAAGGAACUGAACCCUGCCAAUAACCCACUGAGGAACUGAAUCCAGCAAACAAUUAUGUGAAGAAACUUGGAAGCUUGUCCUCCCCUCUAGUUGAGCUUUGAGAUGACUGCCGCCCUAGUGGACACCUUGAUUGAAGCCUUAUGAGAAACCCUAAGCCAGAGAACCCAAUUAAGCUACGCUUACAUUCCUAACACAGAGAAAAUAUGAGCUAAUAAAUGUUGUUUCAAACCACUAA
rnacentral:lncRNA from 1 species